rnacentral:rRNA from 1 species
GUUAGGAAUAUUGGACAAUGGGCGCAAGCCUGAUCCAGCCAUGCCGCGUGAGUGAUGAAGGCCUUCGGGUUGUAAAGCUCUUUAGUCCACGAAUAUAAUGACUGUAGUGGAAGAAUAAGCCCCGACUAACUUCGUGCCAGCAGCCGCGGUAAUACGAAGGGGGCGAGCGUUAUUCGGAAUCACUGGGCGUAAAGCGUUCGUAGGCUGUUUUGUAAGUCAGAAGUGAAAGCCCAGGGCUUAACCCUGGAAUUGCUUUUGAAACUACAAGACUCGAAUUCGGGAGAGGAUAGCGGAAUUGUCAGUGUAGCAGUGAAAUGCGUAGAUAUUGACAGGAACACCAGUGGCGCAAGCGGCUAUCUGGACCGAUAUUGACGCUGAGGCACGAAAGCGUGGGGAGCAAACAGGAUUAGAUACCCUGGUAGUCC